rnacentral:rRNA from 1 species
AGUGAACGCUGGCGGUAGGCCUAACACAUGCAAGUCGAACGGCAGCACAGUAAGAGCUUGCUCUUACGGGUGGCGAGUGGCGGACGGGUGAGGAAUACAUCGGAAUCUACUUUUUCGUGGGGGAUAACGUAGGGAAACUUACGCUAAUACCGCAUACGACCUACGGGUGAAAGCAGGGGAUCUUCGGACCUUGCGCGAUUGAAUGAGCCGAUGUCGGUUUAGCUAGUUGGCGGGGUAAAGGCCCUCCAAGGCGACGAUCCGUAGCUGGUCUGAGAGGAUGAUCAGCCACACUGGAACUGAGACACGGUCCAGACUCCUACGGGAGGCAGCGGUGGGGAAUAUUGGACAAUGGGCGCAAGCCUGAUCCAGCCAUACCGCGUGGGUGAAGAAGGCCUUCGGGUUGUAAAGCCCUUUUGUUGGGAAAGAAAAGCAGCAGGUUAAUACCCCGCUGUUCUGACGGUACCCAAAGAAUAAGCACCGGCUAACUUCGUG